GAACCUAAGGUUCUCAGGUCACGUGAAGCGAAGGGCGUUGGAAGGAGACGCCUCGCUAGUCCACUCAUUGCCUCAACAUUUGUUCGGUUGGAUAAGAGUGCUCAAGAUAUACAGCAACGAUGAUGGCUGGUGACACAAUAAAAUCCGACCCAAAAUUUCGGAUCUCAAGCCUUACGUGAUCAUAACUAAAUUCUUACUAGAUUUUAACUAAGCCGAAGGCCCAGCAAGAAUUUACAAUGAUUUAUUGAACAUCUUGCUUGUUGGAUUAAGAUACAAGAACGAUCCAAUUUGAACCCCACUCGUCGCCAUGUACCAUGCUUGCCAUGUGUCAUGGUGUAUUUUAUAUGCAAGGCCAUGAUAGGCAUUUACGUACUAUUUUUAAGUGAAAAGUGAGGCAAUAGCAUAGCUG
rnacentral:lncRNA from 1 species